rnacentral:rRNA from 1 species
ACCUACGGGGCGCAGCAGUGGGGAAUAUUGGGCAAUGGGCGCAAGCCUGACCCAGCAACGCCGCGUGAAGGAAGAAGGCUUUCGGGUUGUAAACUUCUUUUCUCAGGGACGAAGAAAGUGACGGUACCUGAGGAAUAAGCCACGGCUAACUACGUGCCAGCAGCCGCGGUAAUACGUAGGUGGCAAGCGUUAUCCGGAUUUACUGGGUGUAAAGGGCGUGUAGGCGGGAAAGCAAGUCAGAUGUGAAAACCACGGGCUCAACCUGUGCCCUGCCUUUGAAACUGUUUUUCUUGUGUACUGUAUAU